CGGACAGCCGGGAGUCCUGCCUGCACCCUCUACCUCCGCGGGCUGGUGUCCCCGCUGGCUCCGGGCUGUGAUUUGAAUUUCAUCUCCGCUCUAGGAACCCUCUCCAGGAUCACAGGCUAACCCAGACUCUCCAUUCCUGAAGACGUACAGCUGCCCCCACACAAGGGAUUAAUUUACAGAGAGCAGAAGGAAGAGGGAGAGAGGAGUAGAAACAUCAGUGAAGAGAGAGAAUAAUUGAUCUGCUGCAUCCUGUGUGCUCCCUACUGAGGAUCAAGCCCACACCCCCAGCAUGUGCCCCCACUGGGAAUUAAACUGUGACCUGAUUCAUGGGUCCAUGUUCAACCACUGAGCAACACUGGCCUCGCUUUAAUAAUUAUUAAUGCCUGGCCAAUCUUGUUUCCUUUACACCCCACCCACUUCUCUUCUAUAUUAUUAUUUUCUUUUUUUAAGCAAAUUGAGGUAAAAGUGACAUAAUAUAAAAUUAAGCAUUUUAAAGCAUACAAUGCAGCAGCAUUUAGUACAUUCACAAUGUUGUGCAACCACCACCUCUGUCUAGUUUCAAAACAUUUUCAACUCCCCAAAGUAAAACUGCACACACAUUAAGCAGUCCCUCCCUUCCCCAGCCCCUGGCAACCACUAAUCUGCUUGCUGUCUCUAUGGAUUUAGUUUUCUGGAUAUUUCAUAGAAUAUGUGACAUUUUGAGUCUGCUUUCACUUAGCACAAUGUUUUCAAGGUUCAUCCAUGUCAUUGCUUCAUAUAAUUCAUUUUGCCAAUAUAUUGCAAUUUGUUUAACUAGUCCUCUGUUGACGGACAUUUGGAUUGCUUACACGUUUUUGCUAUUAUGAAUAAUGCUGCUAUGAACAUGUACGUACAUGGAUUAGUUCAAGUGCCUGCUCUCAAUUCUUGGCGGUAUAUUCCUAGAAGGAGAAUUGCCGGGUGUUUUAAAGGUAUCCAGAAUUUGUUUUAAUCAGGCAUGCAGACAUGGAAACCACUGUCAUGAAGGAAGAAGUUUAUGCUCAUCGACCCCUAGAACCAGGAGGUACAGCAUGUCACGCAGGGCCACAUGAGGAAGCACCAGAGUCGAUCAGGAGGCACAGGGAUCUGAGGAAAGUGUGGGCAAGAGCCUUUAUUAGGCUUUCUGUGGAAUAGGCAAGGCAGCGUGAGCGGUGUGAGAAUUGGCAAGGUUGCCCUAGUUGGUUGGUACCUGGCCAUGGGGUGAUUAGGGCAGGGGGAUAGUGGCCUGGAGUGGAGAGCCCAUAAAGGAGGUGGUUGGGGGUGUGGGCUCUGGGUUGAUUUGUUUGCAUGUGAAAGGCCCACUCACAGACCAGUGAGUUGUUAUUUCUAGGAAUUAAGCUAACCCUGAGGAGUGUCUCUUGAGUGUCAGCAAGGCCCCAGAUGUUGAAUCAUCAAAAUACAAAAAAUAAAAAGACAUGCUUAAUUGGAGAAAGAUAAAUACCACAUGAUCUCGCUCAUUUGUGGAAUAAACCGAACAACAUAAACCGAUGAACAAAAAUAGAUCCAGAGACAGAGAAGCAGCGAACUGACAAACCUCAGAGGGAAGGAAGGCUGGGGUGGGGGGUGAGGAGUAAAAGAUCAACCAAAGG